UACGUAGGGGUGCAAGCGUUGUCCGGAAUUAUUGGGCGUAAAGAGCUCGUAGGCGGUCUGUCGCGUCUUGACUGUGAAAACUCAGGGCUUAACCCUGAGCUUGCAGUGGGUACGGGCAGACUAGAGUGCGGUAGGGGAGACUGGAAUUCCUGGUGAUAGCGGUGAAAUGCGCAGAUAUCAGGAGGAACACCGGUGGCGAAGGCGGGUCUCUGGGCCGUAACUGACGCUGGAGGAAGCGAAAGCGUGGGGAGCAAACAGG
rnacentral:rRNA from 1 species